rnacentral:precursor_RNA from 1 species
GUUGGUUUUGAGCCACGAACUGUGCAGGGGAGGGGGCGAGCCCGACGUGGUCGGACUCGUCGCCUCCUCGAACCCCGUUCUCGCCGGCGUUUGGACUGGGGGCCGUGCUGCUUUGUCGUGCUUCGCUCCAGGCGGGUGUCGCGGCAGGGCUCGGGCCUCUGCAAGACGUUCGCUAGCUGUUCGGGGUAUAUAAUCCAAGGGCGUGAUUGAGUGCCGUGCUCUGCGUUGUGGUGAUGUGGACGGCCCUUUUCCGAGUGCGACAGGUGUGUCCGGCGACUUCGGUCAUUGGGCUGUCCUGCCCUGCUGCGUUUGGAAGGGGCCCCUCCGUUUCCCUUUGCAAGCCGGUUCCUUGAAAAGCGCCCGCGGCUGUCGCCGGAUUUUCGCCUCCGUGACGAGUCCGCGAGGCAGCUGCAACCCCCUUGUUGCGUUGCCAAAGGAUAUAGUUGUGCUUCUCAAGAGUGAUGGUGGUGUGUUCGGGAGUGCAGUCGCGCAGGCCGCGGGGCAGGACCUCUCGUCGCCGUUCCCUUUCUCUCUUUGACGGCCUAUAUCCUUUUGGACGUGGCGGGGCGGGGGACAUCUCCCUUCUCCGGUGCCCACCCAUGAGGUCUCGCCCUCUGGACCACGGUGGCAUUGUGGGAUGGGUGUUUGUCACAAACACUUGAGACACUGCGGUGCAGUUCGCACCAAGGAUUUGGAAGAAAUCGCCGUGCGAUCCGUGCGUCAUGUGCGUGCUGGACCGUCGGUGCCAUGAG